CCGUGCCGCCUGAAGAGCUGCAGCCAGAACAGGUGGCUGAGCUGUGGGGCCGGGGUGACCGGAUCGAAUCUCUCAGCGACCAGGCUCCUGUGAGGACAACAGCCUGGGCCUCGGCGUCAAUCAUCGAUAAGAAGCCUCUACAGCACCCCUGCCCCCUAAUUUAUACAGAAACCGGACCCACUAAUCCUCUGGGAUUGGCCGACUGUGAGCUGCAGAUAAGGCUAUCAGCCACCAAAGAGCAAUGAACAAUGGAAACUUCAGAGAGCUGAAGAAAGGGGGAGGCCUGUGUUCUUGGCCUGCCCCUGAGUCUUCUGGCUGGGGGCAGGUUGCCUGGGCAAGAACUGCUUCAAUUCCUUAACAAAUGCAACCACCAACACCCAGAUCUCUCUCUCUCUUUAUUUUCAGUUUUUUUGCUGUUAUCCAGAUAAUUAAUAAAAACCAACCACGCAAAA
rnacentral:misc_RNA from 1 species